UUAGCCCAAAAACGAGCUAUAGCUCGAUCAUAAGGGUCUUUAGGCAAGAUGGAAGGGCCUUCAAAUGCCUCAUCAAUGUAUUCAAGAAUGACCAUAGACUCACAAAUGCACUUGCCAUUGUGAAUUAACACUGGAAUUUUCUUGUGAAUUGGAUUUGAUUGAAGAAGUAAAGGGCUCUUAUUUUGUAAGUCUUCCUCUAUAAAUUCAUAUUUCACUCCCUUAAUUUUUAGAGCCCAUUCAAC